rnacentral:rRNA from 1 species
AUUCCAGCUCCAAGAGCGUAUAUUAAAGUUGUUGCAGUUAAAAAGCUCGUAGUUGGAUUUCUGGUACAACGCGCCUGGCCCGCUUAUGUGAGUGCCGGUGCGCGUUUGCCAUCCUUCUAGAAAACGUUUCUACCCGGGCAACUGGGCCGGACUCGCGAUCUAGAUCUUUUACUUUGAAAAAAUUAGAGUGUUUAAAGCAGGCUUUUGCUGUGAAUACAUUAGCAUGGAAUAAUAAUCUAGGACUUCGGUUCUGUUUUGUUGGUUUCUAGUACUGAAGUAAUGAUUGAUAGGGACAGUUGGGGGUAUCCGUAUUUCGUAGUCAGAGGUGAAAUUCUUGGAUUUACGAAAGACGAACUACUGCGAAAGCAUUUACCAAGGAUGUUUUCAUCA